AAAGUGUUCUAGUGGUCGAUGGUACCAGUUUUCAAAACUGGUAUGCUUUAAUUAGUAUCGCGGGUUCAAAUCCCGUA
rnacentral:tRNA from 1 species